rnacentral:rRNA from 1 species
UACGUAGGGGGCAAGCGUUGUCCGGAUUUAUUGGGCGUAAAGAGCGUGUAGGCGGCUUUACAGGUCCGUUGUGAAAACUCGAGGCUCAACCUCGAGACGCCGGUGGAAACCGUAAAGCUAGAGUCCGGAAGAGGAGAGUGGAAUUCCUGGUGUAGCGGUGAAAUGCGCAGAUAUCAGGAGGAACACCAAUGGCGAAGGCAGCUCGCUGGGACGGUACUGACGCCUGAGACGCGAAAGCGUGGGGAGCAAACAGG